AUCAACUUUCGAUGGUAGGAUAGAGGCCUACCAUGGUUUUAACGGAUAACGGGAAAUUAGGGUUCGAUUCCGGAGAGGGAGCCUGAGAAACGGCUAUCACAUCCAAGGAAGGCAGCAGGCACGCAAAUUACCCAAUCCCGACAUGGGGAGGUAGUGACAAUAAAUAACAAUACAGGGCUCAUUUGGGUCUCGUAAUUGGAAUGAGUACAAUUUAAAUCCCUUAACGAGGAACAAUUGGAGGGCAAGUCUGGUGCCAGCAGCCGCGGUAAUUCCAGCUCCAAUAGCGUAUAUUAAAGUUGUUGCAGUUAAAAAGCUCGUAGUUGAAUUUCGGGAUUGACACAUCGGUCGUGCCUUAAGGGGUAUGAACUGGUGUAGUCAAUUUCUCACCUUCUGGAGAACCGCGAUGCCCUUAAUUGGGUGUCGCGGGGAACCAGGACCUUUACUUUGAAAAAAUUAGAGUGUUUAAAGCAGGCAUUUUUGCUUGAAUACAUUAGCAUGGAAUAAUAAAAUAGGACGGCAUGAUUCUAUUUUGUUGGUUUCUAGGAUCACCGUAAUGAUUAAUAGGGAUAGUUGGGGGCAUUAGUAUUCAAUUGGCAAAGGUGAAAUUCUUGGAUUUAUUGAAGACUAACUACUGGCAAAGCAUUUGCCAAGGAUGUUUUCAUUAAUCAAGAACGAAAGUUAGGGGAUCGAAGACGAUCAGAUACCGUCGUAGUCUUAACCAUAAACUAUGCCGACUAGGAAUCAGACGAUGUUAAUUUUUUAAUGACUCGUUUGGCACCUUACGGGAAACCAAAGUGUUUGGGUUC
rnacentral:rRNA from 1 species